rnacentral:lncRNA from 12 species
UGCAAUACGUGCUUGUGAACUAAGGCACUGAAAUGCAUUUUAUUUCCAAAGGUCAUACAUGCCAUCGCCUGGAUGCCCGGAGGCCUAGGGCGACGCGUGUUUGUGUUCAGAACCUAAGAGGCGACGGGCCCCCCGCGCACCGGCUCCGAUGGGCUCAAGUCACUACCACGAACGAGCGGCAGUUUCCCUUCCUGACUUGAUCACGUCUCGACUCUGUGUCAAGGGGUCAGGGCCGCAGGAGCCGAGGUCGGGGUUCGGAGCCACAGGAGCCCAAGGUCAGUGUUUGGGGCCGCAGGAGCCUGAAGUCAAGGAGUCAGGGCUGCAGGAGCCCGGUGUCAGGGUUUGGGGGCAACAGGAGCCUGAGGUCGGGGGGUCAGGGGUAGCAGGAGCCUGAGUUUUGGGGGUCAGGGGCCACCUGAACUGAGAUCAAGGGGUCAGGGCUGCAGGAGCCCAAAUUCAAGGGGUCAGGGGCCACAGAGGCCUGAGGUCGGGGGGUCGGGGGCCACAGGAGCCUGAGGUUGGGUUCAGGGCCACAUGAGCCUGAGGUCAAGGAGUCAGGGCCGCAGGAGCCUGAGGUCAAGGAGUCAGGGCCACAGGAGCCUGAGGUCGGGGGGUCGGGGCCAUAGGAGCCCGAAGUCAAGAGGUUAGGGCUGCAGAAGCCCGAGGUCAGGGGUCGGGGGCCGCAGGAGCCAACAUCAAGGGGUCGGGGCCACAGGAGCCCGAGGUUGGGGGGUCAGGGCCACAGGAGCCUGAAGUUGGGGUUCGGGGCCGCAGGAGCUUGAGGUCAAGGGGUCAGGGCCGUACCUUCACUGUCUAAUGAUGACGGGUGAGUCUUGACCUUCGUGUAACCCUGGGAAGAAACCUCCAUCCCCCCACAUCUUCGUGUGCCUGGAAGAGCCUUGGCCGUGUUGUGCCCCGAGACGGGACGGCUGUCAGCGGCGCUCGUAAGGUCUCCGCGGCAGCAGCGCCCCGGCUUCCCGGGACGGCCGGGGGACGCGGCAGGAACCCCCCGAGGGGUUCGCAGCCUUCCUCGUGCAGAGGCCCCGCCGUCACCACCCGACCCUCUGCCCCACGAGGGCGCGUGUCAGCGGCGAGGGCUCUCCGUGCAGCGAGGACGGGAACUGCCCGAGUGACCCCGUCAGGUCAGCGUGGCUCAGGCGUUGGCCCGUCGAGCUGGCGUCGCGGCUGACCCGGCCCAUGUGCACACGGCCCGGACCUCCCCCGGGGGCUUGGCCGCCGGCCUGCACUGGCCUGGACCGUGGCCGCACCCCUGCUUGACCCCGAAGCCCCCGUCCCUCGAGGUGGCCGGUGAGGGCGAGCAUCCCACGUCCUGUCUGCGCCCGUCCACUUGCAGCGUAUUGGGGCUUGCACGGGGCUCCCGUCCCCAGACUCCC